AGAGUUUGAUUCUGGCUCAGGAUGAACGCUAGCUACAGGCUUAACACAUGCAAGUCGAGGGGCAUCAUGGAGUUUGCUUGCAAACUCUGAUGGCGACCGGCGCACGGGUGAGUAACGCGUAUCCAACCUUCCCUAUAGUAGAGGAUAGCCCGGCGAAAGUCGGAUUUAAUACUCUAUGUUUUCCGUUGCAGACAUCUAAGAUGGAACAAAGGCUUGCCGCUAUAGGAUGGGGGAUGCGUCUGAUUAGGUAGUCGGCGGGGUAACGGCCCACCGAGCCAUCGAUCAGUAGGGGUUCUGAGAGGAAGGUCCCCCACAUUGGAACUGAGACACGGUCCAAACUCCUACGGGAGGCAGCAGUGAGGAAUAUUGGUCAAUGGGCGAGAGCCUGAACCAGCCAAGUAGCCGUGCAGGACGACGGCCCUAUGGGUUGUAAACCUCUUUUGUUUGGGAAUAAAGUCACCCACGUGUGGGUGUUUGUAUGUACCAUACGAAUAAGCAUCGGCUAAUUCCGUGCCAGCCGCCGC
rnacentral:rRNA from 1 species